rnacentral:rRNA from 1 species
ACGAUGAAACCGCGAAUGGCUCAUUAAAUCAGCUAUGGUUCCUUAGAUCAUACCAUCCUACUUGGAUAACUGUAGUAAUUCUAGAGCUAAUACAUGCCGCAAAGCCCCGACCUCACGGGAAGGGUGGAUUUAUUAGAACAAAACCAACCGGACUCCGGUCCGCUGGCUUGAUGACUCUGGAUAACUUUCCUGAUCGCACGACCUUCGCGUCGGCGACGUAUCUUUCAAAUGUCUGCCCUAUCAACUUACGAUGGUAGGUGAUAUGCCUACCAUGGUUAUUACGGGUAACGGGGAAUCAGGGUUCGAUUCCGGAGAGGGAGCCUGAGAAACGGCUACCACAUCCAAGGAAGGCAGCAGGCGCGCAAAUUACCCACUCCCGGCACGGGGAGGUAGUGACAAAAAAUAACGAUACGGGACUCAAUCGAGGCUCCGUAAUUGGAAUGAGUACACUUUAAAUCCUUUAACGAGGACCCAUUGGAGGGCAAGUCUGGUGC